GAUGAACGCUGGCGGCGUGCUUAACACAUGCAAGUCGAACGAGAAGUGAAGACGGAAACCUUCGGGCGGAAGGCGUUAUUUCGAGUGGCGGACGGGUGAGUAACGCGUGGGUAACCUGCCUCAUACAGGGGGAUAACAGUUGGAAACGACUGUUAAUACCGCAUAAGACCACAGCACCGCAUAGUGCGGGUGUAAAAACUCCGGUGGUAUGAGAUGGACCCGCGUUCGAUUAGACAGUUGGCGGGGUAACGGCCCACCAAAGCGACGAUCGAUAGCCGAUAUGAGAGGAUGACCGGACACAUUGGGAGUGAGCAACGGCAGGAACUCCUCCGGGAGGGAGCAGUGGGGAAUAGUGCAACAUGGGGGAAACCAUGAUGGAGCGCGGCCGCGUGAGUGCAGAAGUAUUUCGGUAUGUAAAGCUCUAUCAGCAGGGAAGAAAAUGACGGUACCUGAGUAAGAAGCCCCGGCUAACUACGUG
rnacentral:rRNA from 1 species